GGCUCAGGAUGAACGCUAGCUACAGGCUUAACACAUGCAAGUCGCGGGGUAACAUCUGGUAGAGCUUGCUCUUCCAGGAUGACGACCGGCGCACGGGUGAGUAACGCGUAUCCAACCUGGCCCAUACCACGGGAUAGCCCGUCGAAAGGCGGAUUAAUACCGUAUGCUGUCAUUAAGAUGCAUAUAUUGAUGACGAAAGGACUGGCGGUAUGGGAUGGGGAUGCGUCUGAUUAGCUUGUUGGCGGGGUAACGGCCCACCAAGGCGACGAUCAGUAGGGGUUCUGAGAGGAAGGUCCCCCACAUUGGAACUGAGACACGGUCCAAACUCCUACGGGAGGCAGCAGUGAGGAAUAUUGGCCAAUGGGCGCAAGCCUGAACCAGCCAAGUAGCGUGAGGGAAGACUGCCCUACGGGUUGUAAACCUCUUUUGUUUGGGAAUAAAGUGCGGGACGUGUCCCGCAUUGCAUGUACCAUUUGAAUAAGGACCGGCUAAUUCCGUG
rnacentral:rRNA from 1 species